rnacentral:rRNA from 1 species
UACGGAGGGUGCGAGCGUUGUUCGGAAUUACUGGGCGUAAAGCGCGUGCAGGCGGUCGAUUAAGUCCGGUGUGAAAGCCCGGGGCUCACCCCCCGGAAGUGCGCUGGAAACUAAUCAACUAGAGUACGGGAGAGGGAAGUGGAAUUCCUGGUGUAGCGGUGAAAUGCGUAGAUAUCAGGAGGAACACCGGCGGCGAAGGCGGCUUCCUGGACCGAUACUGACGCUGAGACGCGAAAGCGUGGGGAGCAAACAGG